AUAAUUAUGAAUCAAUAUUCUACCACGACUUCGUAGUCUUAUUAUUACUGAAUGACGUGAUCAUUUAUAUAGUUACUAUAUUGACAAUUUCGUCAUAUUGUAGUUAGUCUUUUGGUUAAAAAGUCACGAUAAAGGUAUUGGGACCAAGAGACACUAAAAUAACCAAAUAACCAAAACUACCAAAACUUAAAAUUUCUGUUGUACAAGUCACCAAAUCAAAAAAUAUAACGUACGAGGAAUAGAAAAACCUAGUUGGAUCAACCCUUUAUAAGUAAUGGAGUAUAAUUGGCAAUUCUUAGUAGUAGGAGUAAUAGACAACGGCAGAUUU
rnacentral:lncRNA from 1 species